rnacentral:tRNA from 1 species
AGUAAGGUGCCUGAUAAAAGGAUAAUCUUGAUAGGAUUAAUUAUGUGACCCACCCACUCUUACUA